UACAGAGGGUGCUAGCGUUACUCGGAGUCACUGGGCGUAAAGGGCGCGUAGGCGGUCUUACAAGUCAGAUGUGAAAUCCCCGGGCUUAACCUGGGAACUGCAUCUUAAACUGUGAGGCUGGAGUACUGUAGAGGACAGUGGAAUUUCCGGUGUAGCGGUGAAAUGCGUAGAGAUCGGAAGGAACACCCGUGGCGAAGGCGACUGUCUGGACAGAUACUGACGCUGAGGCGCGAGAGCGUGGGGAGCAAACAGG
rnacentral:rRNA from 1 species